AACUAAGGGCUGCCUGAGACCUUUUUAAACCCUCCCCUGGGAGGAAGGAGAGAAGAAGGUUUGUUGCUAGCAGUAGUAAGAAGACAGUGAGCCUCACCAGGAGAAGAGAUGGAGGACCACCACAGGAGGAAACAUCUACCAUGUUAGGGGAAACUGAGGCAGACCUGUGAUUAGAAGCCAGGGGAGGCCAGAUCCUUAACUUGAGUGAAUUGCCACAUUUCAUUUGAAGUCAGUGGAGCUACACAGUCAACACCAGCUGGACAUCUACUCCAUAGCCUCUGAAGAACACUGUAUCAGAAUAAAUACAGACCUAUUAAAUACUGUGUAGUGUU